GACACGGUGGUCUAGCGGUCAGAACGCUGGCCUUGUAAUCCUGGGGUCUCGGGUUCGAUUCCCGGCGGUGUCC
rnacentral:tRNA from 1 species